rnacentral:rRNA from 1 species
AUACGGAAGGUCCGGGCGUUAUCCGGAUUUAUUGGGUUUAAAGGGAGCGCAGGCGGAGAUGCAAGCGUGACGUCAAAUUUCGGGGCUCAACCCCGUCUCGCGUCGCGAACUGCGUCCCUUGGUUGCGGGAAGGGGAGGCGGAACUCGUGGUGGAGCGGGGAAAUGCAUAGAUAUCACGAAGAACUCCGAUCGCGAAGGCAGCCUUCCGGCCCGUCAACGACGCUCAUGCUCGAAGGUGCGGGUAUCAAACAGGAUUAGAUACCCUGGUAGUCCGCACAGUAAACGAUGGACACCCGCGGUUUGGCCUGUAUGGCUGAGCCGCCAAGCGAAAGCGUUAAGUGUCCCACCUGGGGAGUACGCCGGCAACGGUGAAACUCAAAGGAAUUGACGGGG